AUAACCAGUGAAAUCGUUAGCUGACGAUUUGCAGAACACUAUCCCUUUAAAGGGCUAGAUUAUAUGUCCCGUUGAGAUUGGGGACAAGAAACACUGGGAAACGUGACCGAAAAAUUUGCCUCUGUUUAUUCAACCACUAUUUUAUUUAGAUCUGCCCAGUGAAACGUGGUGCCUCUACACAGGUGAUCUGUGUAUGAUCCGGGCUGACAGAUGCCAACACGGAGGUACACAGGGACACACGGGAAAGAGCACCCCCCCCGUGUGUCUAAGGAUGGCGAGGGGAAGGUUGCCAGGAAAGGCAGGGGCAGUAAAACGUGACAUUAGCCUUCCCACGUGCAGUAAUUACCUGAAAGCGGGAAAGGAAAGGCUACUAAGGGAACCAACCAUCUUCCAUCCAUCCAAAGCCUGUGGUGUGAGAAACUGCUGUUUUUACACAGGUUCUCUCAUCCCGUGGGCACAGCUAUUAGGCCAGGUAGGAAGUAUCUAAAAUUUACCUGUGAGGAAGCCAGCUCACAGAAGCUAAGGAAAAAUGAACUUUCAUAAAAUGAGGAGAUACUGAAAUGUAGGUCGAAGGACUGCUAAAAACAGUAGGGAAAUGGACCACAGAGCAAAGAGCCCAGGGAAAAAGGCAGCAAAGCAGUUCUCCAGGGUGAGGGCCACAGCAGGUAGCACUGACACUUCCUGGGACCUUGUUUCGUUCACAGUUGCCAAGGAAGCAGGGUUGAGUGAGAAAUCAUCCUGACAGACCACCACUUGGAGGAAACGUCUGUCUGAGAUUGGGCCGUGAAAGAGGAAAGGCUUUUAAAUGUUCACAUUUAAACUUGGGUCACAAGGAAAAUUCCUGCCAGGACAUGAAAAUGUAAAUCUGAAGGCAGGAUGGAUAUAAUCUAAAAAGAAGGGCUUUAAAUUGACUAAUAUCAAAACCAGAUCAAAAUAUUAAGUCGUAUACUAAAACUCCUGCCACGUCAUCAUUAGCGUCAUCAAUCUUCUCAACGACGUCAAUAAGAACAAUGGCUUUUUCUCUUUCUAUGGUUUUAGAGAUACUAGUCUGCCAUGUUUGUCUUCAGUAAGCAAGCUCCUCAGAAAGGAGGACUGCACCCUCCCAGUUUCUCUCCAGUCUGAGCCGCCGGAUGCAUGAGAACUCGCAAAGUACGUUCUCUUUUGUGGGGAGAGCUCAGCAUCUACCCAACGGACCCAGCAACAACUGCUAUCUCUGGAAAAACAAAACCUCCACUGUUACCCGUCUGACUCUGUGAGGCUCAGAAGGGACACACCAUCCCAAGUCCCCAUACUGAAGUCUCAUCUAAGCAAAGAGCACUAAAAUCAUGAAUGGAAACAUCUGCUCCUCGUGGCUAGCAGCAACCUUCAGCGGAGAUGUGUGCCUGACUGCAUGUACCCCCUUCACCAGAAUCACAUAGAUACUGACCUCUCCCCUGCUACCUCUUCGGAUCAGUUCCUCAGAGCUGAGAGGCUGUCUCCCAGGCUACGGUCCUCAUUAAGUCCCAAAUAAAACUGAAUUCACAGCUCUCACGUUGUCCGGUUUUUUUUUGUUUUUUUUUUUUUUUUGGUCGACACUAGAAUCCCCAGUGAAGGGAACCACCCCAAAGGACACUGGAUUGUAGAAUCAUAGACCCAUAAAAUGUGAGCCCUAGAAAGGCAAAAGAGACCAAGUACUCAACCCCUUAAUUUAU